rnacentral:tRNA from 1 species
UUAGUUGGGUAGAAUAAAAACGGGAGAAGCCCCGGUACCCUUUUGGGGUCUGUGGUGAAUUUGCACUUCGCUGUCACGGGGCAUGGCAGCAAGGGGGAGUACC